rnacentral:misc_RNA from 1 species
GUUUCUUCUGUGCUUUUGCACGUAAAAUCGGGCCUGCUAGAUCCUCCCCACCCAAGUUGAUCGACGGCAAUAACCCGGAAGCGACUGGCAAGAGCAUCAAAAUUCCGGAAGAAGAAUCCUUGAGAAGCAGCAUAACCAUGAAUCAUUACAAGAGUCGGAGAUUCAGGUUUGCUGUCGAAUGUCACGGUGUUGAUAAAUCUAGGCUCAUCACUUGAAGAACGAAACCACCUAACUUUCG